UCAAUUCUUACCGUUUAAUCAUCAAUUUUAGGGAUUUGACCUAGUUUUCGUUUUCUCCAAUUCAAUCCUUUCUCAAGGUUUUAAGCCUAAUUUCGAUUCCUUAAUUCAUCUUAAUCAUUAUCUAAGGUCUAAGGACAGUUUCUACAUCUUUUUAACAAGUUUCCACCGUUUAUUCAUUAAUUCUAUAAUUUUAACCUACUUUUCAAUUCCUCACAAACUCAUCCUACAUCAUGUUAAACCUAACCAUUGAUUCACAUACUUAAUAGAAUUGCAAAGUUAGUCUCACCCUUACCUUAAUACACAAAAUCGCAGCCCUCCUCUUGGUGUUUCCUCUUCUCUUGACUUUUUCUCCCUUUCUCCAAAACUGGUCGUACGUACGUUAUGUUUUUCUAAACUAUGUCUCUCCUAUUUAUAUAAAUCUUUAACCUACUUAUUUUUCUCUUAAAUCCAAAUAUUAAUAUUCUAUUCUAAUA
rnacentral:lncRNA from 1 species